rnacentral:tRNA from 5 species
GCCUUCGUAGCUCAGGGGAUAGAGCAACCCUCUCCUAAAGGGUAGGUCGCAGGUUCGAAUCCUGCCGAGGGCAC